UACAGAGGUCCCGAGCGUUGUUCGGAUUCACUGGGCGUAAAGGGUGCGUAGGUGGUGAGGAAAGUCGGAUGUGAAAUCUCCAAGCUUAACUUGGAAAUGGCAUUGGAAACUACCUUGCUGGAGGUUUGGAGGGGGGACUGGAAUUCUUGGUGUAGCAGUGAAAUGCGUAGAUAUCAAGAGGAACACCAGUGGCGAAGGCGAGUCCCUGGACAACACCUGACACUGAGGCACGAAAGCUGGGGGAGCAAACGGG
rnacentral:rRNA from 1 species